UUUACACCUCCGCUUCUACUUUGCUUUGUUACUUUGUUGCUUUCAGUUCUCACUUGGCAAACAAUCUAUAAGGGAUUGACAACCCCUUCAUAGCGUUGGGAGCAAGUUUUUGUGUUUGUACAGGAUCUUGAGAUACUCCUCCACUGGAUUGAUACCUUGGUUCUCAAACUGAGGGAAGUACUUACCACCGCUACGCUACAUCACCCUUU
rnacentral:lncRNA from 1 species